rnacentral:rRNA from 1 species
UACGUAGGGUGCAAGCGUUAAUCGGAAUUACUGGGCGUAAAGCGUGCGCAGGCGGUGAUGUAAGCCAGAUGUGAAAUCCCCGGGCUUAACCUGGGAAUGGCAUUUGGGACUGCAAGGCUGGAGUGUGGCAGAGGAGACUGGAAUUCCUGGUGUAGCAGUGAAAUGCGUAGAUAUCAGGAGGAAUACCGAUGGCGAAGGCAGGUCUCUGGGCUGACACUGACGCUCAUGCACGAAAGCGUGGGGAGCAAACAGG